rnacentral:rRNA from 1 species
ACUCCUACGGGAGGCAGCAGUAAGGAAUAUUGCGCAAUGGACGAAAGUCUGACGCGGCGACGCCGCGUGGGGGAUGAAGGUCUUCGGAUUGUAAACCCCUUUCGGGAGGGAAGAUGGAGUGGGUAACCACUUGGACGGUACCUCCAGAAGCAGCCACGGCUAACUUCGUGCCAGCAGCCGCGGUAAUACGAAGGUAGCAAGCGUUGUUCGGAUUCACUGGGCGUACAGGGAGCGUAGGCGGUUGGGUAAGCCCUCCGUGAAAUCUCCGGGCCUAACCCGGAAAGUGCAGAGGGGACUGCUCAGCUANAGGAUGGGAGAGGAGCGCGGAAUUCCCG